rnacentral:misc_RNA from 1 species
GAUGAAGAACGCAGCGAAAUGCGAUAAGUAAUGUGAAUUGCAGAAUUCAGUGAAUCAUCGAAUCUUUGAACGCAUCUUGCGCUCCUUGGUAUUCUGAGGAGCAUGCCUGUUUGAGUGUCAUUAAAUUCUCAACUACACUGACUUUGAAUUGGUGUGGCUUGGAUUUGGGGGGAAAAUUGUUGUGGGCUUUUUGUAUAGUCUGCUCCCCUGAAAUUGAUUAGCGGUACCUUUGUGGAACUGUCUACAGGUGUGAUAAUUAUCUACAUCUUAGACAUCUGCUGGAAUGCUGCUUUCUAAACCUUACUUGUAUUGACAAUCUUGACCUCAAAUCAGGUAGGUCUACCCGCUGAACUUAAGCAUAUCAAUAAGCGGAGGA